rnacentral:sRNA from 1 species
AGCACUUUGUUAGUGAACGUAAAUAUGAUGAGGAUCUGGGACGAGUAGCCCGGUUCACCUGUGAUGUAGAGACCCUAAAGAAGAGCAUUGAUUCAUUUGGACAAGUGUCUCAUCCAAAGAACAGCUAUUCAACCAGAUCCCGAUGUAGCUCAGUUACAUCUGUGUCCUUGAGUAGCCCAAGUGAUGCCUCUGCUGCUUCCUCUUCCACCUGUGCCUCUCCUCCCAGCCUUACAAGUGCUAACAAGAAAAACUUUGCACUGGGAGAGACUCCUGCAGCCAUAGCAAACUCCAGUGGCCAGCCCUACCAGCCACUUCGGGAGGUAUCAGAGUGCUCCAUCUCAGGCACCAGGAAACACCAUUGAAAGAGGCCAGACUCACUCUGCAGGGACCAAUGGAACUGGAGUCAGCAUGGAGCCCAGCCCUCCCACGCCUUCAUUCAAA